UCUCCCAGAUCUAUCUGGGCUCUUCACUCUGCAAAUUGAUUCAUUAGUUUUCUCCUGUAUAAGUUCAGAUCGUCCUUAUUUUGGAAGAAGUAGAGGAAAAGAGGAGAUUGUGUGGUGUGUGAUGAAGACUCAGGAGGAAUAUAUCAUGGUGGGAGAUAUGGUUAGACUUGGAAGAGGUAUGAGAAGAAGAUUAAAGGUUUCUCCUCCAAGUCAGUCGUAGCAGGUUUGAUAGAGAUCCAAGGUGGCAUGCAGGAGUCGAUAUUGUUCCAAUCCAUUGUUAUUUCUCUCACAAAUUUGAAAUCAAGGAUUCUAUAUUAGAAUCCACUUUCAACAAAUUCCAAAAUCUGCAAAAGAAGGUGAAUGGAAAAUCUCAUAAAAAAUCCAUGCAGACCAUAAGACACAAUAUCUACUAACAAGGUUGCUUUCUUUUACACAUAAAAACAAGGUACAUUUCAUGUGCAAUGAGAUUUUUUCUUACACUUCUCUAACAUUAUAGAGAUCAUGGCUAAAGAAACUUACACCUUUGAUAAUAUGCACACAAUGUAUAGUUAAUCAGAUGCAUUGAUAUUUCUAGGUUCUAGAGGAAAAAAUUUAUUCCUAUAACAAAAAAAUAGUCAAAACAACUACAAGAAUGUUUAGUUUUUUCAUGGUUUCAACUCAUACUCAAUAUAUAUUAUCUACUAUACUUUAUAGUUAUUAUAUUAUAUAGCUAAGAAUUAGAAUAGAUUAAAACACUCGCUAUUUUAGAGAUUGAAUGAGGUGGCAUUGAAGAAUUAGAAGCAUAUUAGGUACAUGAAUCAUUUGAUUCCACCAAUGACUUAGAAAAAGAGGCUAAGUAUGAGAUGAAACCAUGUCGAAACUAGAUAUUCUUCUAACCAUUGUGAUUCAUGUGUUGUUAUAAGAAUAAGUAUCCCCAAAUUUAAACUCCAGAAUAUCUAGGUACCUUGAUAAAUUCUACAUUAUCCCCAUCUUAUAUGGACAGUGAUUUUCUUUAGCCACAAUCUCUAUGAUAUUAUGAAUGUGUAGAAAAGAGAAAACUAAGUAUCAUCGCACAAAAGAUAUAUCAUCUUUUUAUGUAGAACGAAAAAUAACAUUAUUGGUAAAUAUUUCAUCUAGUGAGUUGGAUGAAUUUGUUAUGAGAAUUCCAUUCACCUUCUUCUAA